UAAGGGCUCACCAAGGCGACGAUCCCUAGCUGGUCUGAGAGGAUGAUCAGCCACACUGGAACUGAGACACGGUCCAGACUCCUACGGGAGGCAGCAGUGGGGAAUAUUGCACAAUGGGCGCAAGCCUGAUGCAGCCAUGCCGCGUGUAUGAAGAAGGCCUUCGGGUUGUAAAGUACUUUCAGCAGUGAGGAAGGGGUGUACGUUAAUAGCGUGCAUCUUUGACGUUAGCUGCAGAAGAAGCACCGGCUAACUCCGUGCCAGCAGCCGCGGUAAUACGGAGGGUGCGAGCGUUAAUCGGAAUUACUGGGCGUAAAGCGCAUGCAGGUGGUUUGUUAAGUCAGAUGUGAAAGCCCGGGGCUCAACCUCGGAAUUGCAUUUGAAACUGGCAGACUAGAGUACUGUAGAGGGGGGUAGAAUUUCAGGUGU
rnacentral:rRNA from 2 species